rnacentral:rRNA from 1 species
CCCUAUGGGGUGCAGCAGGAAUCUCAAACUUGGGCUACUAUUACCUUCCAAAACUAUUUUCGUCUCUAUGAAAAACUAGCCGGCAUGACUGGCACUGCCGCUACUGAGGCUGAAGAAUUUAAAAAAAUCUAUAAUCUUGAGGUAAUCACCAUCCCCACUCAUCGUAAUCUUCAGAGAAUAGAUGAUAAUGAUCUAAUUUUCAAAACUCAGCGCAUAAAAUAUGCCGCUAUCGCCGCCAAAGUCGAAGAGCUUCACGCCAAAGGACAGCCGGUUUUGAUUGGCACUACGAGUAUUGCCAAAAAUGAAAUUGUUUCCUCCAUGCUUCGGAAAAAAGGGAUUCCUUUUCAAAUGUUAAAUGCCAAGAAUCAUCGCUCGGAAGCCGAAAUUAUUGCCAAGGCGGGGGGGC